GUUUUCACCAAAAAUUCUACAGAAAAUCUUCUUGGCAAUAAGAAAGAUGAUAUAAAAAUAGGAAUUUUGAGAAUUGGUUGCGUGAUGGAAAGUUACAAAGAACCGUUUUCUUCCUGGUUGAUUAAUGAAAAUACUUUCAAUGUAAUUUUGAAAAACCUUCUAAUCGGAAUAGCUUUCAACAUGAAAGAAAACAGCUAGCGUAUAUUGCUCAACAAUUGAUGUAUGCGUCAAUUCUCUCAUAGCUUCAACAUACGAUACAGCGCAUAAUACAGAAAAUAUUAAAGUGUAUAACCUAGCAACAAAUCGACCGACAGUAAAAAAAUAUACGAAAUAUUUGUUAAAGAAAACGUGAAGGAUCCUUGGUUGAUCUUUGGUAAUUUAAAGUAUAGGUUGCUAUGUCAC